AGUAAUCAUUAAGGUAUAGAUAGAUAGUAAUAUUUAGGCUCGCAGGAGGUGGAUGGAAGAAAACUAGUCGGCGAUAAUAUCCUUAUAAUAAUUAUAUUCAAAUUUACAUUUAAAUGAAAAGACUAAAAACUAGUGCUUAUCUCUAAGCAUGAGAAUAUUCUAACUUAAUAUUACGAUUCCCACAUCGCGCGGGUUCUGGUAUUACGCCGCGUCAGCUAUACGGGUCGUAU